GUCUUUUCUCUUUUCUUUGCAGCAGUAGCAGCAGUCAGGAGUCUCAAGAAAAGAAGUCAAAAACUUGCGACGAGUUUGAGAAAAGUACGUCAGAGAUACUCGGAGAGAAGAAUAUUAGAUCCCACAAAUCAAGCACGAGUUCGGAAGAAGAUGACCUGAAGAAAAAACACUUCGCAAACAGAAUUGACAAUGUUACAAAAAGUAAAACAAAGUCAGGUAUUAAUCAAGAAAAGCAGGAAAUACAGGUUAUACUAGGGCUUGGAGCUUAUUCAGACACCAGUGAUUCAGACUCGUCUUCUAAUGAAUCAUAAUGAAGUAGUAUCUGGUGAAUCAACUUUGUUCUCAGUGGUUGGAAGAAAGGUCGCACAACAGAAUCUUGCACCUCAUGAUUCUUCAGUAUGCCGUCAAUUUAAAGAUACGUUCAAGUAAAUAAGUUGAUUGUGUUUCUUCUAAAUGUAAGCCAUGAGAAGGAAUUGUAAGCCAUUUGAAAGGUUAUCAUCAGGACUGGACGCUUUUAGUGUGGUAAUGUUCAAGUGCAACGUGGAAAGAAGCCUUCACAAUAACAGUGAAUGCAACUUUGCACUUUUAGUUUUCAUUAAAAAACUUCAGAAUUCCACAGAAAUCCAAUCUUUUUUUCAGUUUUUAUAAUAUUAAUUUGUAGUCUUUCUCUCAGUAAACGCUAGUUCUGUCUGAUAAGGCUGUUGAAGAAAUCUUGAGAGUUGUUAAUCGUUAGUCCACUCCAAAAGAUAACGAACAGCUAACGUUCCGUUUGUAAUUUGUAGGUAAAGAUAAGCGUGUCAAAUUUAGAAGAAAAUUCACCGCCGUAGUGAUUAAAGAAAAGCAUGAUUACUCGGUCGGAGCUAAUUUCAGCGCCUUGCUCCAACGGUGAGUUCAUGCAAGAAACGUCAGCUUGUCUUUGGAUCGCAUCAAAAAACUAGCAGACAACAUUCCUACCCCGAAACCUCUGAGGUUAACCAAAAAUUAUAUUUGAAAUUUAAGCUUCACGAAGUGUUGCAUUUCAUGGAUGAGAUCUUGACAGACCAGAAAGAUCAUUAACCGGUUAACUCUGCUGGCUGGUUCCAGAUAAAUCGAAUAAAAAUAUACAUUUUUUUA